rnacentral:misc_RNA from 1 species
UGUGGGAGCGGGCUUGCCCGCGAUAAGGCCGUGUCAGUCGAUAAAGAUAGUGACUGAUAGACCGCCAUCGCGGGCAAGCCCGCUCCCACA